AUUGAACGCUGGCGGCAGGCCUAACACAUGCAAGUCGAACGGUAACAGGAAGCAGCUUGCUGCUUCGCUGACGAGUGGCGGACGGGUGAGUAAUGUCUGGGAAACUGCCUGAUGGAGGGGGAUAACUACUGGAAACGGUAGCUAAUACCGCAUAACGUCGCAAGACCAAAGAGGGGGACCUUAGGGCCUCUUGCCAUCGGAUGUGCCCAGAUGGGAUUAGCUAGUAGGUGGGGUAACGGCUCACCUAGGCGACGAUCCCUAGCUGGUCUGAGAGGAUGACCAGCCACACUGGAACUGGGACACGGUCCAGGCUCCUGCGGGAGGGAGCAGUGGGGAAUAUUGGACAAUGGGCGGAAGCCUGGUGCAACCAUGCCGCGUGUAUGAAGGAGGCCUUCGGGUUGUAAAGUACUUUCAGCGGGGGGGAAGGGAGUAAAGUUAAUACCUUUGCUCAUUGACGUUACCCGCAGAAGAAGCACCGGCUAACUCCGUG
rnacentral:rRNA from 1 species